GGCUUCCCAGUGCUUACCACAGGCUGUGUUCUUUACACUGACUGUGUAGAAAGAGGAGGUACGGUAAAUGCACCCCAUAUACACCCCAAUCCAGGCCCUUUGUCUUGUUUGUAUGUGAAUUGGGUGACAAAA